ACAGAGGUCGUUAGAGCAUGUAACAGACAGAGGCUGCCUGCAAGCCUGGAGAGGAGGCUUCGUUGGAAGCCUACCUUGCCAGCCUCUUGAUCUUGGAUUUCCCAGACUCUGGAAUGUGACGUGUAACACACACAGUGACUCUGAUGAAUGAGAAGCACUGUCAGGAUUCCUGAAGCGGCCAGGACCUUAACGAGCUCGACACAGCCCAACGCGGUAACGGUUAUGGCACUGUGAGGUUCUUCGAAGCUUGGUUGGCUGAAUGAAUGAAACACGUCUGCAGCUGUCUGACAGGAGAGAAAGAUACGUACACUACCGAGCAGGCAUAGCAGCCCUGUUUACUGCUUUCCCGGACCAGGAAGGUGCCAUCUCGCUUCCCCCGGAGUAGGUUUUCAGCCUUGUUUCUGUUGCUGCUGCCGACAUUCCAUGUCUUCUCGUCGUGGUGCGGCAAAUCCUCAUCAUCCUCCACCAGCGAGUAUUGGCUAAGGAGGCAGGAGAGAAAGGUUGGACAUGAAGCCCUGGGAGAGGUCACCUCUCCCACCGAGCCCGUCAGGCCAGCCACCGCGGCUCUGACUCAGGCGGCACUUGGCCGUGGAGCUCAGCCUUCCAUGUGACCUCCCUGGACAAAGAGCCCCAGUAGUAAGAGUCUUCCUCUUUGUAAGUCAGGAGCUACAUGUAGGCAGCUGGGCAGAGGGGAAGGUAUCAAAUGAUCCUGUUGGUCCAGUUCAGAUCAGGAAACCGACUGACUAGGAGGACUGCCAGUUUCUCAUGUAAUUCAAACAAAACCCAGCCUUAAGCUUUAGAGAUACACUGAACAGAAUUGUGUCCUUUUUUUCCUCCCGACUGUUCCAGAAACCCACUGGGGAUUUUUACAGGUUUGGGGCCUUCCUUCUAGACAGAGUCACUCAAUUGCACUGUGGGUAAAAACUAACUCUGCAUCCUUCACUAAACUUUCCUUUUUUGUAACAUUCUGGAAAAUGCGACGUGGUUUACAGAAGAUGUUCCAAACUCCGUGAAAUUCCUCCCUUGGUCUGCAAACAAAGCAAGUCACGAGUUCUCUUACCAUGAAGACCCCCCCACCCCCGCCAGCCCCCGGGCAGCCUCCCACCUACGGGCAUCAAAAAGUUAAAUCUUCAUUUUGGAGGUCAGACAAGUUUGUGGAACUUUGAGUUGUUACGUCAAAUCCACUUGAAACUCCCAGCGACCUCUGCAAUUAUCAUCACGAGAACUUCUCAUUCUGACACUUACGAGCUUCAUUUAAAAGCUUCAAUAUUAUCUUCUUUGACAACUUGAUCCUGGAAGAAUGAGAGAUGGGAAGAGAGAAAACUUCAGUUCAUCGGCUAUGCAGUCCAGUAACUGGCCAUUCUCAAACUGUAAUUUUGUGACCACAGGUAUAAAGUUUUUGAAAUUUUAUUACAUGCAA